rnacentral:rRNA from 2 species
GGUCCCACCUGACCCCAUGCCGAACUCAGCAGUGAAACGCCGUAGCGCCGAUGGUAGUGUGGGGUCUCCCCAUGUGAGAGUAGGGAACUGCCAGAC